rnacentral:rRNA from 1 species
GACGAACGCUGGCGGCGUGCUUAACACAUGCAAGUCGAACGCUGAAGCUUGGUGCUUGCACUGGGUGGAUGAGUGGCGAACGGGUGAGUAAUACGUGAGUAACCUGCCCUUGACUCUGGGAUAAGCCUGGGAAACUGGGUCUAAUACUGGAUACGACAUGUCACCGCAUGGUGGUGUGUGGAAAGGGUUUUACUGGUUUUGGAUGGGCUCACGGCCUAUCAGCUUGUUGGUGGGGUAAUGGCGCACCAAGGCGACGACGGGUAGCCGGCCUGAGAGGGUGACCGGCCACACUGGGACUGAGCAACGGCCCAGACUCCUACGGGAGGCAGCAGUGGGGAAUUUUGCACAAUGGGCGGAAGCCUGAUGCAGCGACGCCGCGUGAGGGAUGACGGCCUUCGGGUUGUAAACCUCUUUCAGCACGGAAGAAGCGAAAGUGGCGGUACGUGCAGAAGAAGCGCCGGCUAACUACGUG